rnacentral:rRNA from 1 species
ACACAGCGAUGUGAUGCUAAUCUCAAAAAGCCGAUCGUAGUCCGGAUUGGAGUCUGCAACUCGACUCCAUGAAGUCGGAAUCGCUAGUAAUCGCGGAUCAGAAUGCCGCGGUGAAUACGUUCCCGGGCCUUGUACACACCGCCCGUCACACCAUGGGAGUUUGUUGCACCAGAAGUAGCUAGCCUAACUGCAAAGAGGGCGGUUACCACGGUGUGGCCGAUGACUGGGGUGAAGUCGUAACAAGGUAGCCGUAGGGGAACCUGCGGCUGGAUCACCUCCUUA